CCGCCGGGCGUGACCCGCUCCGGGGACAGUGGCAGGUGGGGAGUUUGACUGGGGCGGUACACCUGUCAAACGGUAACGCAGGUGUCCUA
rnacentral:rRNA from 1 species